AUUUUCGUAGUAAAUAGUUGUACUACACCGCCGCCGCCUGCUACAGUGCUCAUGUAAGCAUAAUAUUAUCCUGUUCGGAUCGCGUUCGCCGCCCCCACCGCUCUCGAGUAAUCCGUUCUUGUCGUCUUUUUUUUUUCUUUCCCGUUUCUUUCCUCGUUUAUUAUUAUUAUUACUAUCGUUGUUUGUGAUUGUACGCCUACUCGGCCAUAUUUCGUUGUCCGACAAACGGCUCCCGCGGACGGACGUGACUCAGAGGUCCGAGUGAAAGAAUUGAAUAAUUUGUUGAUAGUGCCCGACGAUCACUACGCGUUCCACGGCAGUUGUAACAUUACCGAUCUUCGCGAGACAGUGAUGUUUACGCGUUGAGUGUUUUAAUUUUUUCCUGCCGAUCGUCUCAUCCAUUCCGUCUGAGGAUUGUUAGCUGCGGUUCCGAACAUCGUUCAAAACUCUAACAGAAUGUAUCAAUCACGAGUGUUGCCGAGUAACACGGGUUAUUCAAAGGAUACAGCCAUGAUGUGGCAACAAGGUGGCCAGUACUUGCCAGAGUCCGGUAUCCACUCUGGUGGAACCACCCAAGCACAUUCUAUCACUGACAAAGAAGAUGAUUUAGAACGUGACCAAUUGAUCUAUGAACUUAAUCAAGGAUUUUCACACGGGUUUACUCAAGAUCAAGUUGAUGAAAUGAAUCAACAAUUGAGUCAGUCACGUACCCAAAGAGUAAGAGCAGCAAUGUUUCCAGAAACACUGGAAGAAGGAAUUGAGAUUCCUUCUACACAAUUCAACCAAGGACAGUUGACAGCCGUCCAACGGUUAGCUGAGCCAAGUCAAAUGCUUAAACAUGCCGUAGUUAAUUUGAUUAAUUAUCAGGAUGAUGCUGAUUUAGCAACUAGAGCUAUCCCAGAACUUAUAAAAUUAUUGAAUGAUGAAGACCAAGUUGUUGUAUCACAAGCUGCCAUGAUGGUUCACCAGUUAUCGAAAAAAGAAGCAUCACGGCAUGCAAUCAUGAAUAGUCCUCAAAUGGUUGCUGCAUUAGUGAAAGCAUUGUCAAAUAGUAAUGAUUUAGAAAUGACUAAAGGCGCAGUUGGUACUCUACACAAUUUAUCACAUCAUCGACAAGGACUUUUAGCUAUAUUUAAAAGUGGAGGAAUACCGGCUUUGGUUAAACUACUUAGUUCUCCUGUUGAGUCUAUAUUAUAUUAUGCUAUAACAACUUUACAUAAUUUAUUGCUACACCAAGAGGGUUCAAAAAUGGCAGUUCGUCUUGCUGGAGGUCUUCAAAAAAUGGUAGCGCUUUUGCAACGUAACAAUGUUAAAUUUUUGACAAUCAUAACUGAUUGCUUACAAAUAUUAGCAUACGGUAAUCAAGAAAGUAAAUUAAUUAUUCUUGCCUCUCAAGGACCUAUUGAACUUGUACGUAUUAUGCGUUCAUAUGACUAUGAGAAGCUUUUGUGGACAACGUCUAGAGUUUUGAAAGUUUUGUCUGUGUGUUCAAGUAACAAACCGGCAAUUGUUGAAGCUGGUGGCAUGCAAGCUCUUGCAAUGCAUUUACAACAUGGCAGUCAACGUUUGGUACAAAAUGCUUUAUGGACCUUGCGUAACUUGUCUGACGCUGGAACUAAGGUUGAUGGGUUAGAACAGUUAUUGCAGUCGUUGGUAAUUGCUUUAAAUCAUUCAGAUGUUAAUGUAGUUACCUGUGCUGCUGGAAUUUUAUCAAAUUUGACUUGUAAUAAUCAACGUAAUAAAGUUACUGUGGUUCAAGUGGGUGGUGUUGAAGCACUAGUACAUACAAUUAUGAACGCUGGAGAUCGUGAAGAAAUAACUGAACCAGCUGUGUGUGCUUUGAGACAUUUGACAUCUAGACAUGUUGAAUCAGAUAGUGCUCAAAAUGCUAUACGCCACAUUGGAGGUAUUCAAGUUAUAGUAAAGUUGUUACAACCUCCUUCCCGUUGGCCACUUGUCAAAGCUGCUAUUGGACUAAUUCGAAAUGUAGCUCAGUGUCAAGGAAAUCAUGUGCCAUUAAGAGAACACGGCGCAAUUCACCAUUUAAUACGUUUAUUGAUGAGAGCGUUUCAAGAUAUUCAAAGGACAUCUACAAAUAGUAGUGUAGCAGGAUCUGGCAGAUCACAAUCAGGUGGUGUAUAUGCUGAUGGAGUGCGCAUGGAAGAAAUUGUUGAAGGCACUACUGGUGCAUUGCAUAUUCUUGCAAGAGAAUCACACAAUCGAGUGCUUAUGCGCUCCCAACAAGGACUGAUAGCAGUAUUAGUUCAAUUGUUAUUUAAUGAUAUUGAAAAUGUUCAACGAGUAGCUGCUGGUGCAUUAUGCGAGUUAGCUAUUGAUAAAGAUGGGGCAGAUAUGAUUGAAGCAGAAGGUGCGACAGCGCCACUAACUGAACUAUUACAUUCCCGUAAUGAAGGAGUUGCAACAUAUGCAGCAGCAGUUUUAUUCCGAAUGUCAGAAGAUAAACCAAAUGAUUAUAAAAAACGGUUAUCAGCAGAGCUGAGUAAUUCACUAUGCCGUGAAGAUCAAAAUACAUGGCCACCCAAUGAUCUUGGAAUGGGGCCUGAUCUUCAGGAUGCAUACGAUUUGUAUAGUCACGGACUUGGUAGCGUUCACAAUGGAAUGAGCCCAAUGAGACGUAACAACUACCAUCAACAGUCAGGUACACACAUAUUUUAGAUCUAGUGGCUGAAUUUGCUUAACUAUACUAAUUAUUCUGCGCUUGUUUUGCAUGCAAUUCUACAUUAACAGGUAUGACACGUUACCAAUAGACUCUAUGCAAGGUUUAGAAAUAUGUUCUCAACAAGAAUCCAACUGUAGUCCAAUGGACGUAGUAACAGCUAAUGAUAUUGAUUUUGGUCGUCUAGGAGAUUUACCUGAACC
rnacentral:misc_RNA from 1 species